AUGUUCUCUGUGUCUCUAGUGCUGCUCUUGGCAGCCACAUCCUGUGUCCAGUGUCAGGUUGUUCUCACCCAGUCUGAACAGCCAGUGGUUCUGUCUCCUGGUGGAGCCCACAAACUCACCUGUGCCUGCAGUGGAUUUAUUGGCUAUGACAUGCACUGGUUCCGUCAGGCUCCUGGAAAAGGACUGGAGUGGAUCAUUUACUAUUAUUCUGAUUCUGACAAGAGCAUAGCCCAGGCAGUGCAGUGCCGUUUCAUAGCAUCAAAGGACAGCUCUAAUUUCUACCUUCAUAUGAAUCAACUGAAGACUGAGGACAAAGCAGUUUAUUACUGUGAUAGAGAUUCACUGUGA